rnacentral:lncRNA from 10 species
GGGGUAUAAUUUGCAAGUCAAAGACUAAAUCAAUUCAUCCUAUAGGAUGCUAUCCUUUCUUUUAAUAAGAUUGAAAUUAAAAUAUUUUUAGAAAGUAUAUUUGUUCUUGCUUGGUUUAACAUACGCGUCAGUAUUUGUGUUCUUUUAUGAUGGUGGUGGGAGAGAGAGACCCCAAAGGAAUGAAAUAUAACAUUAGGUGCAGUAAACUUAUCCCUUGACUCAUAAAGCAGCUAUUGGCUCUAAUUUUAGAUUUAGUAUUUGAAUUCAUUAAAGUCAUAAAGGGUUUCAUUUCAUAUACUUUAUCCUUUUCCUGAAGCUAAUAAUCUUAACUUUAUUUUCUUAAAAGUCACAUUUUAUAUUUUACUAGAAAGUCAAAACUUUUUCUUACUAUUUUUUUUUUUGAGACAGAGUCUCGCUCUGUUGCCCAGCCUGGAAUGUAGUGGUAUGAUCUUGGCUCACUGCAUGCUCCACCUCCUGGGUUCAUGCCAUUCUCCUGCCUCAGCCUCCCGAAUAGCUGGGACUACAGGCACCUGCCACCUCGCCCAGCUAAUUUUUUUUUUUUUGUAUUUUUAGUAGAGACAGCAUUUCACCGUAUUAGCCAGGAUGGUCUCGAUCUCCUGACCUAGUGAUCCACCCGCCUCAGCCUCCCAAAGUGCUGGGAUUACAGGUGUGAACCACCGCACCUGGCCCAACUUUUUCUUUCUUUUAAAAUGAUUGUUCAUAAAGUUAAAGAAAUGAAGAAAAACAUCAGAUGACUAAGAAAAGAUGUCGAAAUGACACACAAGGAAGACCGAUUUGCUACCAGGAUGGAGAACGUGGGUGAAGCGUGAGAUGACCUACCCCCCAGAACGUGGAGGCACCAGGGACACAGUGGGCCUCAUCUGUGACUUUCUGACCAGACUGAAAUGCACUGGCUUGUCUUUGCACAGGAGAGCCACUGGCCAAGUUGGACAGGAAUCUGGUUGUGCCCUAGUGGGUGAGGAAGAAGAGGCUGUUCUAAUCCCCCAUCCACAGGUGGGAAGACUGAGGCCAAGGGCUCACACUUCAGCAUCACGAGCAUCACCUGCAGGGCUUGGAAAUCACAGAUCAGUGGUCC